GAGUGAGGGGCUGUUCAGAGGAGCGAGCCCUUAGAACUGGGUAUGGCGUGUCCGUGAUCGCUUUCCACAGGGACAGGGCUCCUCACAGUGCAGUGCGAUCUAAAGCAAGACUGGACGAGAACAACGUCAAAGAUCAAGUGUGACAAGAGGAAGACACACCGCCCUCUUCUUCUCUCAACCCAGUGUGUGUGUUUGUGUGUGUGUGUGUGUUGUAUUCUUGAAAAAUCUCAUCUCGGGAAUAGCACAUAUUUUCUGUCAGGAUCUGCCAGGAUUUCUGAUGAGACUGACAGAAACCUGUUUCAUUUUCAUGUGAGAUAAUGAGUAGAUGCAAGUUCUCACACAUCUGUUCAGGGAAGAUAAAGAUGACAUUACUAGAGGAACUUGCUGGACAAAGUGAGGGAUUGCUACAGAGUCUGGAGUAAUGGGCGUUGUGAAACCAUGUGACCAAGGACUGACCGCCCCAAAUCAUGAGAAGGAAAGAUUUUAUCUGUCCCCCAAUCCUGAGGAAUCUUGUGUAAAGACUUUUAACCUGCCUGUUGACAAGAAUCCAUCAUAAAAGGUAUUCAUGACUCAGUGUGGCUCUCUCAGGUGACUAGGAGGCGGGUCUGGGUCAUCAGCACUUACAUCCUGCUCAACCCAAGGAAGUGACCAGCUUGACCAGCCCUUCCCAUAGCCCUGACUGCCAGAGGACCCAGCAGAGUGGUGCCCGAACAGGGACCUGGCACUGCCAUGCCUGCAACUUCCUGAUAUCACAGACUCUUAAAACCUCUGGAACUGUAAUCUCAAAUAAAAUCUUCCUUCUGUA